rnacentral:tRNA from 2 species
GCGCGAGUGCCGGAAUUGGUAGACGGGACGGCUUUAGGUGCCGGUGUCUUCGGACGUGGGGGUUCGAGUCCCCCCUCGCGCACCA